CCUCGGGUCGCAGCAGUGGGGAAUAUUGGGCAAUGGGUGAGAGCCUGACCCAGCGACGCCGCGUGCAGGAUGAAGGCCUUCGGGUCGUAAACUGCUGUUGUACGGGAAGAAGGAAGUGACGGUACCGUACGAGGAAGCUCCGGCUAACUACGUGCCAGCAGCCGCGGUAAUACGUAGGGAGCGAGCGUUGUCCGGAAUUACUGGGCGUAAAGGGCACGCAGGCGGUCAUACAAGUCAGCUGUUAAAUGCAUGGGCUUAACCGAUGCAUGCGGUUGAAACUGUAUGGCUAGAGUACAGGAGG
rnacentral:rRNA from 1 species